rnacentral:tRNA from 1 species
AUAUACAUGGUGUACGUUGCACUUAAAGGUUUGAUCUUUAAUAGUUAUGGUUAAAUUCCAUUUGUAUAUA